GAUGAACGCUGGCGGCGUGCCUAAUACAUGCAAGUCGAGCGAACAGACGAGGAGCUUGCUCCUCUGACGUUAGCGGCGGACGGGUGAGUAACACGUGGAUAACCUACCUAUAAGACUGGGAUAACUUCGGGAAACCGGAGCUAAUACCGGAUAAUAUAUUGAACCGCAUGGUUCAAUAGUGAAAGACGGUUUUGCUGUCACUUAUAGAUAGAUCCGCGCCGCAUUAGCUAGUUGGUAAGGUAACGGCUUACCAAGGCAACGAUGCGUAGCCGACCUGAGAGGGUGAUCGGCCACACUGGAACUGAGACACGGUCCAGACUCCUACGGGAGGCAGCAGUAGGGAAUCUUCCGCAAUGGGCGAAGGCCUGACGGAGCAACGCCGCGUGAGUGAUGAAGGUCUUCGGAUCGUAAAACUCUGUUAUUAGGGAAGAACAAAUGUGUAAGUAACUAUGCACGUCUUGACGGUACCUAAUCAGAAAGCCACGGCUAACUACGUG
rnacentral:rRNA from 1 species